rnacentral:rRNA from 1 species
GAUGAACGCUAGCUACAGGCUUAACACAUGCAAGUCGCGGGGCAGCAUGGGGGUUGCUUGCAAUCCCCGAUGGCGACCGGCGCACGGGUGAGUAACGCGUAUCCAACCUGCCCUUCACCACGGGAUAACCCGGCGAAAGUCGGACUAAUACCGUAUGCUGUCCAUUGACGGCAUCCGAUUUGGACGAAAGGUUUGGCGGUGAAGGAUGGGGAUGCGUCCGAUUAGCUGGACGGCGGGGUGACGGCCCACCGUGGCGACGAUCGGUAGGGGUUCUGAGAGGAAGGUCCCCCACACGGGGACUGAGACACGGUCCAGACUCCUACGGGAGGCAGCAGUGAGGAAUAUUGGUCAAUGGGCGUAAGCCUGAACCAGCCAAGUAGCGUGCAGGAGGACGGCCCUAUGGGUUGUAAACUGCUUUUAUGCGGGGAUAAAGUGGCCCACGUGUGGGUUUUUGCAGGUACCGCAUGAAUAAGGACCGGCUAAUUCCGUG